rnacentral:tRNA from 1 species
GCCUAGGUGGCUUAGUUGGUUAAGCGUCAGACUUCAGCUCAGGUCAUGAUCUCACAGUUCGUGAGUUCGAGCCCCACAUUGGGCU